UGCAAGUCGAGCGAACAGAAGGGAGCUUGCUCCCGGAUGUUAGCGGCGGACGGGUGAGUAACACGUGGGUAACCUGCCUGUAAGACUGGGAUAACUCCGGGAAACCGGAGCUAAUACCGGAUAGUUCCUUGAACCGCAUGGUUCAAGGAUGAAAGACGGUUUCGGCUGUCACUUACAGAUGGACCCGCGGCGCAUUAGCUAGUUGGUGGGGUAAUGGCUCACCAAGGCGACGAUGCGUAGCCGACCUGAGAGGGUGAUCGGCCACACUGGGACUGAGACACGGCCCAGACUCCUACGGGAGGCAGCAGUAGGGAAUCUUCCGCAAUGGACGAAAGUCUGACGGAGCAACGCCGCGUGAGUGAUGAAGGUUUUCGGAUCGUAAAGCUCUGUUGUUAGGGAAGAACAAGUGCGAGAGUAACUGCUCGCACCUUGACGGUACCUAACCAGAAAGCCACGGCUAACUACGUGCCAGCAGCCGCGGUAAUACGUAGGUGGCAAGCGUUGUCCGGAAUUAUUGGGCGUAAAGGGCUCGCAGGCGGUUUCUUAAGUCUGAUGUGAAAGCCCCCGGCUCAACCGGGGAGGGUCAUUGGAAACUGGGAAACUUGAGUGCAGAAGAGGAGAGUGGAAUUCCACGUGUAGCGGUGAAAUGCGUAGAGAUGUGGAGGAACACCAGUGGCGAAGGCGACUCUCUGGUCUGUAACUGACGCUGAGGAGCGAAAGCGUGGGGAGCGAACAGGAUUAGAUACCCUGGUAGUCCACGCCGUAAACGAUGAGUGCUAAGUGUUAGGGGGUUUCCGCCCCUUAGUGCUGCAGCUAACGCAUUAAGCACUCCGCCUGGGGAGUACGGUCGCAAGACUGAAACUCAAAGGAAUUGACGGGGGCCCGCACAAGCGGUGGAGCAUGUGGUUUAAUUCGAAGCAACGCGAAGAACCUUACCAGGUCUUGACAUCCUCUGACAACCCUAGAGAUAGGGCUUUCCCUUCGGGGACAGAGUGACAGGUGGUGCAUGGUUGUCGUCAGCUCGUGUCGUGAGAUGUUGGGUUAAGUCCCGCAACGAGCGCAACCCUUGAUCUUAGUUGCCAGCAUUUAGUUGGGCACUCUAAGGUGACUGCCGGUGACAAACCGGAGGAA
rnacentral:rRNA from 1 species